GCGUCCGUAGCUCAGCUGGAUAGAGUACCUGGCUACGAACCAGGCGGUCAGAGGUUCGAAUCCGCUCGGACGCGCCA
rnacentral:tRNA from 1 species